rnacentral:ncRNA from 1 species
GCAGAGUAAAGACUUGUGCGUUAAGUGCUGAGUGAACAGGGAGUUGUCAUCAGACGAAAAGGAACCUUGCGAUACUUGUCUUGAUUCCCACUGC